rnacentral:lncRNA from 1 species
CCUCAGAUGACGGUUCAUGCUGGGAGUGGCCUCAAGGCCUUCUGGGACCUGGCAUGGGCCAAGCUCUCCCACCUGGGGCUUUCCUCCCCUUCCUCUCUCUCCUCCAGAAACACAGAUUGAAACAUGAGAACGUCUCUCUUCCCUCUAGAGCCUCACACUUGCUGCCUCCUCUGCCUGGAACUCUCUCCCUCUGCUCUCACAGGGUUCCCUAAGUGUCGCUUCCUCCAAGAAGCCCUCCCUGAUGAGUUGAGCCACUUUAGUUUGUGCUCAGGCUCACCCUGCACGUCUUGGUUGCUCUCAUCACUGUAAUGAUCUAAAACACACGUCUGCUCAUGAGACCCGCAUCCCACCCCCGAUGCUGGGGCCGCUCUUGGAUUUUCAUGCCUGCUGCCAGCACCCAGGGGGAGCUCCGGAAAUGUCUGCUGGGGGCUCGGAAUACCCACCUUUCUGGUAAUGCAGCCCAGCGGGUCCCAGCCUCGUUUUCCAGCCCUCACUCAAAAUGGAGUCGCUCUGGUUCGAACGCCUCUGACAAGUGUGUACCUACGUGUCAGGCCCAUCCUUCCUGCAGGCCUUUGUCUUGGUGUCACCCUGCCUGAGCUGGCCCCAACCACAGUAGCAACAGUGAUGCUGAUGUGUGACUGCUGCCAGGAGCCUGCUCACAUGACCGUGUGGAGAAAGUUCUUUCCCUGAGGACCAUCUGGAGUGGACGCGUGCACUACCCCUCUCUGAAUACACCCUCCCCACGAGGCCCUCUGGAGCAUCCUGUAGAGCCAGCCCCUACCCAGAGACCCUGAGCCCAGAGAAUGCGCUGGGUGGUGAGCCUGGGGACGAAUGCAGAGCCCUAGGUCUCCUCUCCAGAAAGACCGGAUUUUGCCAUGUUGGCCAGGCUGGUCUUGAACUCCUGACCUCAAGUGAUCCACCUGCCUCGGCCUCCCAAAGUGCAGGGAUUACAGGUGUGAGCCACUGCACCCGGCCUCAGGCAGGUAUUUUUACCAGCCGAAUACUCUUGCACUGUGCACUCUUCGUGUUCAUCAUCAGUCCCCCGGAUGGGUGUUUAAGGCAUUUCCAAAGCUCUGUUAUUAAAAACACGAUGCAAUGAGUUUCUUUCAGCA